UACAGAGGGUGCGAGCGUUGUCCGGAAUCACUGGGCGUAAAGGGCGCGUAGGCGGUCUCUUAAGCGUGUGGUGAAAGCCCGGGGCUCAACUCCGGGUCGGCCGUGCGAACUGGGGGACUGGAGCUUGUCAGAGGCAGGCGGAAUUCCGGGUGUAGCGGUGGAAUGCGUAGAGAUCCGGAAGAACACCGGUGGCGAAGGCGGCCUGCUGGGACAGUGCUGACGCUGAGGCGCGACAGCGGUGGGGAGCAAACAGG
rnacentral:rRNA from 1 species